CCUACGGGCGGCUGCAGUCGAGAAUCAUUCACAAUGGGGGAAACCCUGAUGCUGCGACGCCGCGUGGGGGAAUGAAGGUCUUCGGAUUGUAAACCCCUGUCAUGUGGGAGCAAAUUAUAAAGAUAGUACCACAAGAGGAAGCGACGGCUAACUCUGUGCCAGCAGCCGCGGUAAUACAGAGGUCGCAAGCGUUGUUCGGAAUCACUGGGCGUAAAGCGUGCGUAGGCUGUUUCGUAAGUCGUGUGUGAAAGGCGCGGGCUCAACCCGCGGCCGGCACAUGAUACUGCGAGACUAGAGUAAUGGAGGGGGAACCGGAAUUCUCGGUGUAGCAGUGAAAUGCGUAGAUAUCGAGAGGAACACUAGUGGCGAAGGCGGGUUGCUGGACAUUAACUGACGCUGAGGCACGAAGGCCAGGGGAGCGAAAGGGAUUAGAUACCCUUGUAGUC
rnacentral:rRNA from 1 species